UACGGAGGGUGCAAGCGUUGCUCGGAAUUAUUGGGCGUAAAGGGUAGGUAGGUGGUCUCAUUUGUCUGGGGUGAAAGCCUUGAGCUUAACUCAAGAAGUGCCUUUGAUACUGUCGGUCUCGAGGGAGAUAGGGGUGUGCGGAACUUCCAGUGGAGCGGUGAAAUGCGUUGAUAUUGGAAGGAGCGCCGGAGGCGAAAGCGGCGCACUGGAUCUCUUCUGACGCUGAGGCGCGAAAGCUAGGGGAGCAAACGGG
rnacentral:rRNA from 1 species